GACAGAGGGUGCGAACGUUGUUCGGAAUUACUGGGCGUAAAGCGCAUGUAGGCGGCAGCGCAAGUCGGGCGUGAAAUCCCACGGCUCAACCGUGGAAGUGCACUCGAAACUGCGCAGCUAGAGUCCUGGAGAGGAAGGUGGAAUGCUUGGUGUAGAGGUGAAAUUCGUAGAUAUCAAGCGGAACACCGGUGGCGAAGGCGGCCUUGCUGGACAGUGACGUGACGCUGAGAUGCGAAAGCGUGGGGAGCAACAGGG
rnacentral:rRNA from 1 species